rnacentral:snoRNA from 1 species
GAAUAUGACGAGAGAAACGCUGUGCACCAGUCUGAAAGCGCCAAAGUACUCAGGUCGCUGUGAAGCAUCAUGUAUACCCAAAUUUCUGAUU